rnacentral:lncRNA from 1 species
GGGAAAUCUCAUUUGUUGGGACAGUGAUGAAAGAAACAAGAAGGCAAGGUGGAAGACAGGACAUAAAGGCAGAAAAGGAGGAGUCAGCAUGUGGUGAGGAAAAUGCAAAGCUCCAGUGAUAAACCGAUUCACCAGACGGGCAUCAGAGAAAGGAGAAAAACUAUUGAGGCGAUCAAGAGACUUGGAUGGGAAGAAAGGGGGACAUGGAUGUAGAAGCAGCAUGAAGUGGAAGAGAAAGCUGUGAGUAUGUUUAUGAGGUGACAAAUGAGUGGAAAUUCCUGAACAAGCCAAGGUAGCCAAGAGGUGCAGUUUCUGAGGACAGAUACUUUCUUGCUAU